rnacentral:rRNA from 1 species
GACAGAGGCCACGAGCGUUAGGCGGAAUCACUGGGCUUAAAGCGUGUGUAGGCGGAUCGUUAAGUACCUUGUGAAGUCCCCACGGCUUAACCGUGGAACGGCUGGGUAUACUGGCGGUCUUGAGCUGCCUAGGGGUCACUGGAACAAACGGUGGAGCGGUGAAAUGCGUAGAUAUCGUUUGGAACGCCAAUGGUGAAAACAGGUGACUGGGGGCAUGCUGACGCUGAGACACGAAAGCCAGGGGAGCGAACGGG